GCCCCGAGGCAGAGGCAGGGCAGCUUUCCCAGCCCCUCUGCUCGCAAAGGUGACCCAGGGACAGCACAGCCCUCAUCACACGCUGCUGAAGGUGUGUUUGGCAACAGAGGUGUGUGCAGCUUUCACAUAACCCGGCAAAGGGCAACACAGGUUCCGACGGACGCCCAGGCAGGAGCGUGCAGAGGCAGGGCUGCGUCAGAUGGGAAACGAAUGCCAUCCGGGUGCGGAGACACGAUGGCACGUAAACUAUGCUGAAGACAGAAAUCAACUGGCACGUUCACUCUGGAGGAAUCCCCCGGGGUACCAGCAGAAGGCAUUAUCGGCGCGUUUCUCCGGUGAGCUGUGAUGGGAAGAGCAGGGAGCGAAAAAGAAGCUGCUCACAAAAGUACAUUUAACAGCCUUAGUUGGAAGACGGGAAGGAUGCCGUCCCCUGUCUGAUUUCAGCGGCUGAGGUAAGUCACCCUCACUCGGACGGCGGCGGUCGGAAGGAAGAAAGAAGGAUCCUUUCCAUGGAUGUGAGCCAGCAUUGUCCUCUCACGCCUUAUUCAUGCCGUACGCAAGGUACUAACAGAAAAAUCAGCUGGGUAGGGGGAGCAAAGC